rnacentral:rRNA from 1 species
GUUGGUUAAGUCUGUCGUGAAAUCCCCGGGCUCAACCUGGGAAUGGCGAUGGAUACUGGCCAGCUAGAGUGUGUCAGAGGAUGGUGGAAUUUCCGGUGCAGCGGUGAAAUGCGUAGAGAUCGGAAGGAACAUCAGUGGCGAAGGCGGCCAACUGGGACAACACUGACGCUGAAGCACGAAAGCGUGGGGAGCAAACAGGAUUAGAUACCCUGGUAGUCCACGCCCUAAACGAUGCGAACUGGAUGUUGGUCUCAACUCGGAGAUCAGUGUCGAAGCUAACGCGUUAAGUUCGCCGCCUGGGGAGUACGGUCGCAAGACUGAAACUCAAAGGAAUUGACGGGGGCCCGCACAAGCGGUGGAGUAUGUGGUUUAAUUCGAUGCAACGCGAAGAACCUUACCUGGCCUUGACAUGUCCGGAAUCCUGCAGAGAUGCGGGAGUGCCUUCGGGAAUCGGAACACAGGUGCUGCAUGGCUGUCGCCAGCUCGUGUCGUGAGAUGUUGGGUUAAGUCCCGCAACGAGCGCAACCCUUGUCCUUAGUUGCCAGCACGUAAUGGUGGGAACUCUAAGGAGACUGCCGGUGACAAACCGGAGGAAGGUGGGGAUGACGUCAAGUCCUCAUGGCCCUUACGGCCAGGGCUACACACGUACUACAAUGGUCGGUACAGAGGGUUGCGAUACCGCGAGGUGGAGCCAAUCCCAGAAAGCCGAUCCCAGUCCGGAUCGAAGUCUGCAACUCGACUUCGUGAAGUCGGAAUCGCUAGUAAUCGCGGAUCAGCUAU